UACGAAGGUGGCAAGCGUUGUUCGGAUUUACUGGGCGUACAGGGAGCGUAGGCGGUUGGAUAAGCCCUCCGUGAAAUCCCCGGGCUCAACCUGGGAACUGCAUCCGAGACUGCAUUGCUAGAGUAUGGGAGAGGAAAGCGGAAUUUCUGGUGUAGCAGUGAAAUGCGUAGAUAUCAGAAGGAACAUCAGUGGCGAAGGCGGCUUCUUGGACCAAUACUGACGAUCAGGUGCGAAAGCGUGGGGAGCAAACAGG
rnacentral:rRNA from 1 species